CAGUAGCGUAUAUUAAAGCUGUUGCAGUUAAAAAGCUCGUAGUUGGAUCUUGGGCCCAGGCCUGCGGUCCGCCGUGAGGCGUGUACUGCAGUCCUGGCCUUCCUCUCGGUUUUCGCCCGGUGCCCUUAAUUGAGUGCCAGGAGAGGCCGGAACGUUUACUUUGAAAAAUUGGAGUGUUCAAAGCAGGCCUCGCGCCUGAACAGCAGAGCAUGGAAUAAUGGAAUAGGACCUCGGUUCUAUUGCGUUGGUUUUCGGAACUCGAGGUAAUGAUUAAGAGGGACGUGACGGGGGCGAUUCGUAUUGCGGUGUGAGAGGUGGAAAUUACUUGGAUCGCCGCAAGACGACCGACUGCGAAAGACAUUUGUCCAACGAAAUGUUUUCUA
rnacentral:rRNA from 1 species